UGGAAGCGGCGGGAGCCGGCUCCCGGAGGGCAGUGGAGUGAUUCGGACGGUUCCAUUCCAAGCGGAGGGGCUGUGUGUUCGGAGAGUCCGGGCUGUUUCUGCUGAGGGGAGAGGCGGGAAGGGCAGUGUGUAUGGAGCUGUGGGGCCGGAGCGGUGCGGAAGGCGGUUGAGCCCAGCGGGCCGCGGGAUCCCGAGGGGAGCCGUGUUGGAGAUGCCCCCGGGUCCCGCUGACAUGUAUACAUCUGAGAAACCGCCUCCAACAACAUACUUUGCUUCAAGACCUCUCCUGGAUUAUACGCAAAGAAGUUUCCAGUCAUGAGUUCACAAAUGCACAUGCCAGCUCAGAUGAGCACCCAGCAGUGGGAUGUGAGUAGAUACAUGGAAGCCUUCGCUCGUGAUACUGGCCCAUGCUGGUGUAAAAUGCGGGCUUGCUACUUCAAGAAUAUGAAGGCUUCUAUCUGAUGGUGAUGCAAACACAAGCAAGUAAUGAUACAGUUGGAUCGCUGGACAGCUGGACACACAGUGACUCACUCAUCUAGAGGAUUUUUCACUAAAACACUCUUUCUGUGGCUGGCAUUCACUGUCUCUCACUUUGAAUAAUAAUAACUUUCAUGGGAUACAUGUACAUUAUGGCUUUUCUAUUGCAUUUCUUAUCCUGACAAUUCAUUGCCCUUUUAGUUUGUUUUAAA